GGCGGACGGGUGAGUAAUGUCUGGGAAACUGCCUGAUGGAGGGGGAUAACUACUGGAAACGGUAGCUAAUACCGCAUAAUGUCGCAAGACCAAAGAGGGGGACCUUCGGGCCUCUUGCCAUCAGAUGUGCCCAGAUGGGAUUAGCUAGUAGGUGGGGUAACGGCUCACCUAGGCGACGAUCCCUAGCUGGUCUGAGAGGAUGACCAGCCACACUGGAACUGAGACACGGUCCAGACUCCUACGGGAGGCAGCAGUGGGGAAUAUUGCACAAUGGGCGCAAGCCUGAUGCAGCCAUGCCGCGUGUAUGAAGAAGGCCUUCGGGUUGUAAAGUACUUUCAGCGGGGAGGAAGGGNGUUGAGGUUAAUAACCUCAGCGAUUGACGUUACCCCGCAGAAGAAGCACCGGCUAACUCCGUGCCAGCAGCCGCGGUAAUACGGAGGGUGCAAGCGUUAAUCGGAAUUACUGGGCGUAAAGCGCACGCACGCGGUCUGUCAAGUCGGAUGUGAAAUCCCCGGGCUCAACCUGGGAACUGCAUUCGAA
rnacentral:rRNA from 1 species